UGGACAAAGCUCAUGGACGAAAGCGUGGGCGGUGGAAGUGUCCUCCAGCGACGGGCGGCGGACGAUGGGCGAAAUCGGUUAACGACGGGUGAAAUCGGUCGGAGGCGGCGAUGGUCGCGGGUCGCCGACGUCCUUUGCGCCGAGCCAUGGAGAGGUGAGGUGCUCCCUUCCCCACCCCGCCCAUGAAUCGGCGUCGACAUCGACAGGAUCUCUUGAGGAGGAGGGGGCGGUUGACGGCGGGAUGCGGGGAGGAGCUUCCGGCUGCGUUGACCACACCCUGAUUCCUCCCUCGAAGGAUCUGGCACGGAUCAGGCCUCCCAUCGCUGCCUCCCUCCCACAGCGGUGGCGUCAUGAUCUGUGAUGCACGAUGAUAAUGAGGUCUGCACUCGUGCCGGUCGGCAGCAGGCGCUGGAGACCCUGGCCACGCAAAGCAGGCAUGGGGAUGGCGGUCAGGAUCGAUGGAUGGAUGGAUGUUCAAUUCGUGGCUGUGGGAUGCCUCUCUAGAUGUUCGUGGGUGAUGGAUAUCUGUCGAUGGGAGACCUAAGGAUCUAUAGUGCUUUGUCGGCUCAACAUCGAUAUGUGGCACUAGCGCCGUCUUGUUUGUUGGAUUCGUGCAUGUAAUAGUAAUUUAGUUACUAAGAGACAUUGAGAAUCAUCGGUGUAAUAGUAACUUGGUUUCUAAGAGAUUUUUUUGGCAAUAUCAAUAUGUUAUGUUGAGAUUGGUGUAAUAGUAAUUUAUUUACUAAGAGAA